GACGAACGCUGGCGGCGUGCUUAACACAUGCAAGUCGAACGGUGAAGCGCCUUCCUUUUUGGUGGGUGUGGAUGAGUGGCGAACGGGUGAGUAACACGUGAGUAACCUGCCCCCUUCUUCUGGAUAACCGCAUGAAAGUGUGGCUAAUACGGGAUAUUCUGGGUCUGUCGCAUGAUGGGUCUGGGAAAGAUAUUGUUUCGGUGGGGGAUGGGCUCGCGGCCUAUCAGCUUGUUGGUGGGGUGAUGGCCUACCAAGGCGGUGACGGGUAGCCGGCCUGAGAGGGUGGACGGUCACGCUGGGGCUGAGACACGGCCCAGACUCCUACGGGAGGCAGCAGUGGGGAAUACUGCACAAUGGGCGCAAGCCUGAUGCAGCGACGCCGCGUGAGGGAUGGAGGCCUUCGGGUUGUGAACCUCUUUCGCCAGUGAAGCAGGCCUGCCUCGUUUGUGGGUGGGUUGACGGUAGCUGGAUAAGAAGCGCCGGCUAACUACGUG
rnacentral:rRNA from 1 species